UAAUAUAUGUUAUAUGAAAGAGUAUAAAAACCAUGAGGAAUUAUUUUUAAUUUUUAAUUGCUCAUUCCAUCUCCCAAUCACUUUUCUUCAUUCUUACUUUUUCCUAUUCCCUUUCUUUUUUUUUGUUUCUUAUUCGCUUUCCUUAUUUCUUCUUUUUUCUUUUUUUAGAAUGAGAUCAAGAAUUUAGAAUUUUUCUUUCAUUCUUCAUGAUCUUUCUUGUCAAUCCAUGAUGUUCGAUAGAUGACUUUAAUUAGGGCUUAGAAAUAAAAUACAUCAGGCUCAAAAUGGGAUAGCAAGGGAUAUAAUUUUCUCCAAGUGAUGGGAAGAAC
rnacentral:lncRNA from 1 species